AUCAGCGCGCCUGCGCAGCCGCAGAACUUCCCCCGCCCCUCUGGCCACCGCCACCGCUGCUGCCGCUGCUGUACUGACGGCGGGUGCCAACACUUCAGAGUUACUGCUUUCUUCUUGAGAAUCCUCUCAUCUGUCCUCAUGGAUGAACUCCAGGAUGUUCAACUCACAGAGAUCAAACCACUUCUAAAUGAUAAGAAUGGUACACGAAACUUCCAGGACUUUGACUGUCAGGUAAGGACUGUACAAGCA